UUCUUAUUGGUGAAGCUUGAUACCCUGUAAAAAGGGUUUAAUAGGGAAUCACGUGCAAAUCGUGAGCUGACGCGCAACUGUAAAGCCGAUUGAAUGUUGUGCAGCGUUAUGCCACUGUUUCGCCUCUUGCGGAACGGGAAGGUGCUGCAGAACCGGCAAGCCAGGAGACCUGUCCUGCUUCUUUUUCUCUA
rnacentral:ncRNA from 2 species